UCUGGUAUGGUGUAAAGGCCAACAUUGCCGCCUUUCUUGUCAGCCAUCCUAAGCCAAUUUUCGCGGCAGAUUGGGGUUCGAUUCCCCGUACCGGAA